UACGUAGGGUGCAAGCGUUAAUCGGAAUUACUGGGCGUAAAGCGUGCGCAGGCGGUUAUGCAAGACAGAUGUGAAAUCCCCGGGCUCAACCUGGGAACUGCAUUUGUGACUGCAUGGCUGGAGUGCGGCAGAGGGGGAUGGAAUUCCGCGUGUAGCAGUGAAAUGCGUAGAUAUGCGGAGGAACACCGAUGGCGAAGGCAAUCCCCUGGGCCUGCACUGACGCUCAUGCACGAAAGCGUGGGGAGCAAACGGG
rnacentral:rRNA from 1 species